rnacentral:misc_RNA from 1 species
CACAGAAACUGCAAGUGUGUUAUACCGUCUCAUAUUGUUUAAGUAUCCAGACUAUGUGGAUGCUUAUUUGAGGCUGGCUGCCAUUGCAAAAGCUCGAAAUAAUCUUCAAUUAAGCAUUGAACUGGUUAAUGAGGCUCUGAAGGUGAAUGACAAGUGUCCGAAUGCGUUAUCAAUGCUUGGUGAUUUGGAGCUGAAAAAUGAUGAGUGGGUUAAGGCGAAAGAAACCUUUCGGGCUGCCAGUGAAGCAACUGAUGGGAAGGAUUCUUAUGCUAUUCUCUCUCUGGGAAACUGGAACUACUUUGCUGCAAUACGGAAUGAGAAAAGAAAUCCUAAGUUGGAGGCUACCCAUUUGGAGAAAGCCAAGGAACUAUACACCAGAGUCCUAGUUCAGCAUACAGCUAAUUUGUAUGCUGCCAAUGGUGCUGGAGUAGUCUUGGCAGAAAAAG